rnacentral:lncRNA from 1 species
AUUUAAUAAUAAUUUGAUUUUCUCCUUUUUAUUUGCUUACAAGUACUGUAUUGUUCCUCCAGGGACAUUUUUCUGUUAUUGAUCUGUCAAAAACUCUGGCUGGUAGAAUCUCUUAAGAAAUCAUUUCAAUGUAGCACACCAAGUCCGUGACGUUGACUCAACUUCAUUACCCUACUUUUAUCUAAUGAAAACGACUCAUCUAUUCUCUACUAGCAGAGCACUGUGACGUCAUCGUUUAAGAGGUAGGCUUAACCCUCUUUCCCUACAAACCUCCUCAGACCAGCCAUCAAAGCAUUGUGACUUUUUUUCAGUUAAAUACAUGUUUGUAUAUAUAACAUAUUAGUUUAGCACAGAGCAUGAUAAAUUUCAUCUGUGGGUGGUUCUCUGAACUUGCCAUGACUCCUGUAACUCUCAUGAAUAUCUGUGAAGCUCUGAUAACUCCCUCUGCUGCAGUUAAGCAGAUGUUUUGGGAGAGCUCACCAGUACAGCGCCCUGAAUCUCAUGUCUGCCCACACUUCCGGUAACUGAAGCUGCCUGCGUAAUGUAAUGAACUCCCAAGAACCCUCUUUGCAUGCUCCUGAUAAAUAAUGAAGAUAUACAAAAUCUAAUUUAAAAAAAGACAACGAAUAAAAAUUUUGAAAGUGCUAAAUAUCUUUAUUUU